rnacentral:rRNA from 1 species
UACCAGACUCCUACGGGAGGCAGCAGUGGGGAAUAUUGCACAAUGGGGGAAACCCUGAUGCAGCGACGCCGCGUGAGCGAUGAAGUAUUUCGGUAUGUAAAGCUCUAUCAGCAGGGAAGAAGAUGACGGUACCUGACUAAGAAGCCCCGGCUAACUACGUGCCAGCAGCCGCGGUAAUACGUAGGGGACAAGCGUUAUCCGGAUUUACUGGGUGUAAAGGGAGCGUAGACGGCGAUGCAAGCCAGAUGUGAAAGCCCGGGGCUCAACCCCGGGACUGCAUUUGGAACUGUGUGGCUGGAGUGUCGGAGAGGCAGGCGGAAUUCCUAGUGUAGCGGUGAAAUGCGUAGAUAUUAGGAGGAACACCAGUGGCGAAGGCGGCCUGCUGGACGAUGACUGACGUUGAGGCUCGAAAGCGUGGGGAGCAAACAGGAUUAGAUACCCCCGUAC